rnacentral:misc_RNA from 1 species
GAAAUGCGAUAACUAAUGUGAAUUGCAGAAUUCCGUGUAUCAUCGAGUCUUUGAACGCACAUUGCGCCCUUUGGUAUUCCGAGGGGCAUGCCUGUCCGAGCGUCAUUGCAACCCCCUCAAGCGCGGCUUGUGAGAUGGACGCUGUCGUCCCCGCGUCAAAGGCGGGGGCGGGUCCGAAAGGCAAUAAUGGCGGGAUCCCGACGUCCCGAAUGCAUGGGAAAAUCACGCGCUCGGUGGCUCGGGUCCACGGCCGGUUGAAUAAUAUUCUUUCUCUGGUUGACCUCGGAUCAGGUAGGAGUACCCGCUGAACUUAAGC